rnacentral:tRNA from 1 species
GGGGAUUUAGCUCAGUGGUAGAGCGCUUGCCUAGCAAGCACAAGGCCCUGGGUUCGGUCCCCAGCUCUCA